rnacentral:rRNA from 1 species
UCAACCACUCCAUUACCGAAUGGUUCCGCUGCUACGCAUCGGCUGGACUCUCCCACUAGCCGGUGUGACCCUGACUCUGUGCCGGGUCUGAGGAUGCCCUCCGUCGUCAUCCCUUAGAAGGCGUUACCUGCUUUCAGACUGCCUCGUUGCGGCGCACUCGCUUCUUCCAGAAGCCUAGCAUUUCGAGACAACAAUCCCUUCUUGUUCAUAGCCUCAUUGACGGCCAUGGAACUGCCAUGGAAAGCUCCUUCGGUGCCGAUUGAUGCACGGUCGUCGGCGCCAUUAUGCAUCCACCGUUCGCAACAGGCCUAAAUAACCCGCAUUUCGCGCGCGUCCGCCAGGAAAUUCAGACUACACUUUAGAAUGCCGAGUUGGCAUUCGCCAGUAACCUUUGACCCCCUGAACUCACGUCUUCUCCUUUCGCCUUAAGGUGCACAUCGCCACUUUACGCAUCUCUACACCUCCUUGUGGUCACCGCUUCCGCCGAAAGACCAGACAUUGACUGCGACUCCGCGCUUUCGCACCCCUCGUUUGUCCUAAUCUAUGGGACCAUCAGGUGCGGCAUUUGCUACUCACGAUUCACAACCUCCCAAAGGCGGGAAGUCACGACGUCGAUUGCGUAAUUCGUGAGGCG